UGAUCUUCAGUUCUCGCGAAUUCAGACCACCCGAGAAGCUCGAAAUGGCUAACCUUCUUUCUGAUGAACCAACGGUCAAUUCAAUCAUGACAAAGGUUAUUAUUCAUGUUCUAAAUGUUCAAGAAAGCAUUGGGCUUGAUGGUUUUCAAAAAGAUUCAAAAACGAACUUGUUUGGGCCAAAUGGAGAAACCGAUAAAUAUUGGCUAAGGGAAAAGAUGGAUUUCGACCAGGCCUCAAAGGGACAUGUCUUGGCCCAUAUCAGGAGUAUAUUCUUCACCUUUCAAAGUCCUGGUCGUGGCUAUAUGAAGAGGUAGUCCAAGUUUCAGUCAAAGACUUUAUUUAGUCAAGUCUUUGUUUCUAUUUCCAAUGUCUUGUUUUUAGCACAUUUUUCUUUGGAUCUCUACAACUUGUAAUCCUAUAAAUAAGACCUUAGAGCCACGAAAUAAAACAGAUUGUUUUUCCCUUUUUAUGAGUUUCUCUCAUUGUUCUUUGUUUAGAACACUUCUUAGUUUCUUGGUGAGGUUAUCUCCAAGUCUCGAUCCUUCUUUUGUUGGACCGGUGCGUCACAUCCGGCAACGAUCGAAGUCUGGUAGUAUCUUUGGGCUAUUCUGCAACCCUUAGUGUCACCCCUCGAUCCAUCAGUUCUCAAUCCUCUCGGAUCUGAGUUCAUAUCAAUCUUACCGAAAGAGUGAUCCUUAUUUAGGUUCUAUCAAGUGGUAUCAGAGCCACCCUUUCGGUAACUCUAUUAUCAUUCCAUCUUCUCAUCUCUCCAUCUUCUUCAAACACUUCUUCUUCUACCUUUCUUGAAUCCAGGCCCCUCAUUACCAUCCAUUUAUAUAUAAAAAAAAGAUUUACGAUUUGAUUCAAAAAAAAUAAAAAAAAAAAUAGAAAAAGUUCAAAGUUUGUCUUGUGGAUUGGUGGUGGAAGAGAAAGCGUGCUGGCUGAGGAGAAAUCCAGUCUUUGAGGUGGUUAAAACGGAUUUCAAAAAUCUCUUAUCUAUCUAUCUUGAGAAAAACCCUUUGUUUGCUUUGGAUCUACCCAUUGGGAUUCUUGAUUUGUUCUCUUAGAACCUUGAGAAGAAACUUGAGUGAUUACCAUAAAAUCUGAGAGAAACACUUGAGUGGAUGAGAUUAAACACUUGAGAGAGUGUGAGAAUUUUUAUCUAACUUUUUUGUUGAGAAUUUUCGGGUUAUGAUGUUUGGUCUCCAAAAGAAAAGUAACACCGAGAAGCACCCACGACUUUCUGUCUCUCAAACGGCCUUUAAAUAUGCUUUGAAUACUUUUGAUGAGUAUGUUGAUGUGCAGAAAAAACCAAACCGGUGGAGCAAAAAGCAUGUCAAUACCUCCAAAGAUGUGGCUGAUCCAAAAAGGAAACAUUUUCAGUUUGAUGUCCAACAAUUUUGUGAUAACUUUGUGAAGGGUGUGGACAAAGCCCUCAAGGACGUCAGCAAGAGCCAAAAGAAGAGCACAUCCACACGUGCCCCAGUAGCUGAGCCAUCAAUUUUCAUCAGUGAAAAACCCAAAGGUAAAUCUGAAAACAACCUUGAAGAUCUAAAAGAUUUUUCAGAUUCUUUACCAAUUUUUGAUAAGUAUGAUGAAGAGCUAAUGGAAAGUUGGAUCACUUGUGAGGAUGAAUGUGAUCUUCCUUCUCCAAAACCUGAUCUUAUGUUUGAUAUUGAUAAUGAAGAGACUAAUGGACUAACCUGUUUUGAACCGGAGCAUCCGAGUAGUCUUGUUCUAGUUUCACAGGUUUUUGAGGAAGAACCAUUGAACUACCAACAUCAAGGACCACGUCUUGAGACUAGGAGACCCUUGGACAAUGAUCUUAGUCCCAUCUUUGAUGAAGAAGACGAGCUUGAUCCAAUCUUUGAUGAGGAAGCACCAAGCACAUCAUCCAUCAUCAUAGAGAAACAUCUUUGCUUUGAUCCAGGCACAACUUCUACGCCUUUGCCUAAAAAGCACUGUGAGAAACUUUAUUUACUUAAUUCUCUGCCUGAAAUGUUUGUUAAGAUCAGUUCUCCUGUUGUAAAUCGUUUUGGUUUUGACAAAGUUAAAGAAUUUUGUGUUUCAAAUUCUGUUUUUGAUAACAUGAUUCAUUCUUCUGAGAAAUUUGAACUUGACGGAAUUCUUGAUCAAAAACGUUUUCAAAAUGGCAAUGACAUCCAUUUUGGAUUUGUUUUGAGUCUUGAUCAGUUUUUGAAACAUAGCAAAAGUUUUGAUCAUCUUGAAAAGUCAUUUGAGCUUGAUUUGCAACAGUCUGAUUUUUGUGCUAGAAAAUCGUUUGAUUCAUCUGUCUUCAAAGAAAAUGACUUUAAUCUGAGCCCUUAUAGACAUGAACUGAUCACUGGUAAUUUAUUUGCAUCCACUUGUGCCUUGGACGAAUUUUUGGUUAAGAAGUUGCUGAAACAAAAAUCACAUAGAGCUGAAACCGAUUUUAUUUUUGAUUCUGUUUUGAAGCUUGAUAACUUGUGUGUUGAAACUGAUAAACCUUGGCAUAAUUUGAAACCAAUGUUUGAAAAUUGUGUUGUCUUGAGCUUUGAUGUCAUCUUGGUUUACAACACAUUCUUUGAUGAUUAUCCUAAGAGCUUGGAUCAUGUUCUUGAUGUCCUAAGGAUAGAGAAACUCUUUGAUUAUUUCUCUCGCAGAUUUGAUGUGGUUUCCCUAGUUGUUUUGAAAGUACAGGAUAAGUAUGAUCAGUUCCCAAGGAGAGAAAACACUGGUGAACGCCAAAGUUCUUAUGUAUCAGGGACAUGGAACUGGAAGUACUUGAGGAAAACAAGUCCAAAACUCCAAGGAACUUUCUGUCCAUACUUUUCCUUCAUUGAAUUUUAUAUGAUUUUAAAAUUCGUUUUCUCUUAUUCAUUUCCUUUUGAUAGAGGUGAAAUGGAUUUGAGGUCAAAUCCUUUUCAAGAGGGAGGGAAUGAUGUGCCGUGGGGUAGCGCACCGGGCAAAACAGGCAUGCAUGGCUUGAUCAUGGAAAGCAGUAAAGAUAUAUGUUCAUUGUUUGACUCAUAUCUUCCAAACCACGAGGCUUCUACGCAUGAAAUCACUUGGAGAAUGUUCUCAACUCAAUUACGGAGCUCCUUGAAGAAGAAUCAGAUCAAACGGAGUUCAUAUGUGAUAGUUAUGCUAUUUACAAAUCAGGUGAUCUUCAGUUCUCGCGAAUUCAGACCACCCGAGAAGCUCGAAAUGGCUAACCUUCUUUCUGAUGAACCAACGGUCAAUUCAAUCAUGACAAAGGUUAUUAUUCAUGUUCUAAAUGUUCAAGAAAGCAUUGGGCUUGAUGGUUUUCAAAAAGAUUCAAAAACGAGCUUGUUUGGGCCAAAUGGAGAAACCGAUAAAAUAUUGGCUAAGGGAAAAGAUGGAUUUCGACCAGGCCUCAAAGGGACAUGUCUUGGCCCAUAUCAGG
rnacentral:lncRNA from 1 species